rnacentral:rRNA from 1 species
UGGGGAAUCUUGCACAAUGGGCGAAAGCCUGAUGCAGCGACGCCGCGUGGGGGAUGAAGCAUUUCGGUGUGUAAACCCCUUUCGACCGGGAAGAAUGCCUCGCAAGAGGACUGACGGUACCGGUAGAAGAAGCCCCGGCUAACUACGUGCCAGCAGCCGCGGUAAGACGUAGGGGGCCAGCGUUGUUCGGAAUUACUGGGUGUAAAGGGUUCGUAGGCGGUGUGGCAAGUUGGGAGUGAAAUCUCUGGGCUUAACCCAGAGGCUGCUUCCAAAACUGCUGUACUUGAGUGUGGGAGAGGUGCGUGGAAUUGCAGGUGUAGCGGUGAAAUGCGUAGAUAUCUGCAGGAACACCCGUGGCGAAAGCGGCGCACUGGACCACAACUGACGCUGAGGAACGAAAGCUAGGGGAGCAAACAGGAUUAGAUACCCUGGUAGUCCUAGCCCUAAACGAUCAGGACUUGGGGUGGCUCACGUUCGUGAGUCGUCCCGGAGCUAACGCGUUAAGUCCUGCACCUGGGGAGUACGGUCGCAAGACUG